rnacentral:rRNA from 1 species
UGGGGAAUAUUGCACAAUGGGCGCAAGCCUGAUGCAGCCAUGCCGCGUGUAUGAAGAAGGCCUUCGGGUUGUAAAGUACUUUCAGCGGGGAUGAAGGGAGUAAAGUUAAUACCUUUGCUCAUUGACGUUACCCGCAGAAGAAGCACCGGCUAACUCCGUGCCAGCAGCCGCGGUAAUACGGAGGGUGCAAGCGUUAAUCGGAAUUACUGGGCGUAAAGCGCACGCAGGCGGUUUGUUAAGUCAGAUGUGAAAUCCCCGGGCUCAUCCUGGGAACUGCAUCUGAUACUGGCAAGCUUGAGUCUCGUAGAGGGGGGUAGAAUUCCAGGUGUAGCGGUGAAAUGCGUAGAGAUCUGGAGGAAUACCGGUGGCGAAGGCUGCCUCCUGGACGAAGACUGACGCUCAGGUGCGAAAGCGUGGGGCGCAAACA